rnacentral:rRNA from 2 species
CACUAUCGUUAACUGAAUACAUAGGUUAACGAGGCGAACCGGGGGAACUGAAACAUCUAAGUACCCCGAGGAAAAGAAAUCAACCGAGAUUCCCCCAGUAGCGGCGAGCGAACGGGGAGCAGCCCAGAGUCUGAAUCAGCUUGUGUGUUAGUGGAACGGUCUGGAAAGUCCGACGGUACAGGGUGAUAGUCCCGUACACCAAAAUGCACAGGUUGUGAACUCGAAGAGUAGGGCGGGACACGUGGUAUCCUGUCUGAAUAUGGGGGGACCAUCCUCCAAGGCUAAAUACUCCUGACUGACCGAUAGUGAACCAGUACCGUGAGGGAAAGGCGAAAAGAACCCCGGCGAGGGGAGUGAAAAAGAACCUGAAACCGUGUACGUACAAGCAGUGGGAGCACCUUUAUGGUGUGACUGCGUACCUUUUGUAUAAUGGGUCAGCGACUUAUAUUCUGUAGCAAGGUUAACCGUAUAGGGGAGCCGCAGGGAAACCGAGUCUUAACUGGGCGUUAAGUUGCAGGGUAUAGACCCGAAACCCGGUGAUCUAGCCAUGGGCAGGUUGAAGGUUGGGUAACACUAACUGGAGGACCGAACCGACUAAUGUUGAAAAAUUAGCGGAUGACUUGUGGCUGGGGGUGAAAGGCCAAUCAAACCGGGAGAUAGCUGGUUCUCCCCGAAAGCUAUUUAGGUAGCGCCUCGUGAACUCAUCUUCGGGGGUAGAGCACUGUUUCGGCUAGGGGGUCAUCCCGACUUACCAACCCGAUGCAAACUACGAAUACCGAAGAAUGUUAUCACGGGAGACACACGGCGGGUGCUAACGUCCGUCGUGAAGAGGGAAACAACCCAGACCGCCAGCUAAGGUCCCAAAGUCAUGGUUAAGUGGGAAACGAUGUGGGAAGGCACAGACAGCCAGGAUGUUGGCUUAGAAGCAGCCAUCAUUUAAAGAAAGCGUAAUAGCUCACUGGUCGAGUCGGCCUGCGCGGAAGAUGUAACGGGGCUAAACCAUGCACCGAAGCUGCGGCAGCGACACUAUGUGUUGUUGGGUAGGGGAGCGUUCUGUAAGCCUGCGAAGGUGACCUGUGAGGGUUGCUGGAGGUAUCAGAAGUGCGAAUGCUGACAUAAGUAACGAUAAAGCGGGUGAAAAGCCCGCUCGCCGGAAGACCAAGGGUUCCUGUCCAACGUUAAUCGGGGCAGGGUGAGUCGACCCCUAAGGCGAGGCCGAAAGGCGUAGUCGAUGGGAAACAGGUUAAUAUUCCUGUACUUGGUGUUACUGCGAAGGGGGGACGGAGAAGGCUAUGUUAGCCGGGCGACGGUUGUCCCGGUUUAAGCAUGUAGGCUGGUUAUCCAGGCAAAUCCGGAUAAUCAAGGCUGAGGUGUGAUGACGAGGCACUACGGUGCUGAAGUAACAAAUGCCCUGCUUCCAGGAAAAGCCUCUAAGCAUCAGGUAACAUCAAAUCGUACCCCAAACCGACACAGGUGGUCAGGUAGAGAAUACCAAGGCGCUUGAGAGAACUCGGGUGAAGGAACUAGGCAAAAUGGUGCCGUAACUUCGGGAGAAGGCACGCUGGUGUGUAGGUGAAGUCCCUGCGGAUGGAGCUGAGACCAGUCGAAGAUACCAGCUGGCUGCAACUGUUUAUUAAAAACACAGCACUGUGCAAACACGAAAGUGGACGUAUACGGUGUGACGCCUGCCCGGUGCCGGAAGGUUAAUUGAUGGGGUUAUCCGUAAGGAGAAGCUCUUGAUCGAAGCCCCGGUAAACGGCGGCCGUAACUAUAACGGUCCUAAGGUAGCGAAAUUCCUUGUCGGGUAAGUUCCGACCUGCACGAAUGGCGUAAUGAUGGCCAGGCUGUCUCCACCCGAGACUCAGUGAAAUUGAACUCGCUGUGAAGAUGCAGUGUACCCGCGGCAAGACGGAAAGACCCCGUGAACCUUUACUAUAGCUUGACACUGAACAUUGAGCCUUGAUGUGUAGGAUAGGUGGGAGGCUUUGAAGCGUGGACGCCAGUCUGCGUGGAGCCAACCUUGAAAUACCACCCUUUAAUGUUUGAUGUUCUAACGUUGGCCCCUUAUCGGGGUUGCGGACAGUGUCUGGUGGGUAGUUUGACUGGGGCGGUCUCCUCCCAAAGCGUAACGGAGGAGCACGAAGGUUAGCUAAUCCUGGUCGGACAUCAGGAGGUUAGUGCAAUGGCAUAAGCUAGCUUGACUGCGAGCGUGACGGCGCGAGCAGGUGCGAAAGCAGGUCAUAGUGAUCCGGUGGUUCUGAAUGGAAGGGCCAUCGCUCAACGGAUAAAAGGUACUCCGGGGAUAACAGGCUGAUACCGCCCAAGAGUUCAUAUCGACGGCGGUGUUUGGCACCUCGAUGUCGGCUCAUCACAUCCUGGGGCUGAAGUAGGUCCCAAGGGUAUGGCUGUUCGCCAUUUAAAGUGGUACGCGAGCUGGGUUUAGAACGUCGUGAGACAGUUCGGUCCCUAUCUGCCGUGGGCGCUGGAGAAUUGAGGGGGGCUGCUCCUAGUACGAGAGGACCGGAGUGGACGCAUCACUGGUGUUCGGGUUGUCAUGCCAAUGGCACUGCCCGGUAGCUAAAUGCGGAAGAGAUAAGUGCUGAAAGCAUCUAAGCACGAAACUUGCCCCGAGAUGAGUUCUCCCUGAGACUAUAAGUCUCCUGAAGGAACGUUAAAGACGAUGACGUUGAUAGGCCGGGUGUGUAAGCGCAGCGAUGCGUUGAGCUAACCGGUACUAAUGAACCGUGAGGCUUAACCUU